ensembl:snoRNA small nucleolar RNA, C/D box 114-28
GGGAUCUUUGGUGACUGCUGGUGCUGUCCGAGCUAUAGACGGUGAGUAUGUGUCUGGAACGCCGAGGUGCAG